GAAUAGCUCAGUUGGUUAGAGCAUGGUGCUGAUGAUGCCAGUGUUGCAGGUUCAAUCCCCAAAUGAGACA
rnacentral:tRNA from 1 species